UGCGCAGCGCGUGCUUCAUGACAAUGUUGGGAAAGCUCACGCCUUUAAGACGUGCGGUGCGGAUGUACUGCGCCGUCAUGACUUCGGCCAUCGAAGCCCGGGUCAUCCGCGCAAUAUAGCCCAUGCCGUAGAGCGAAAUCGUCAGAACCGGUAAGAAGAAGUUGUUGAAAUUCGCAUUC
rnacentral:ncRNA from 1 species